GCAUACCGCGUGAGUGAUGAAGGUUUCGGAUCGUAAAACUCUGUUGUUAGGGAAGAACAAGUGCCAAGUAACUGAUGGCACCUUGACGGUACCUAACCAGAAAGCCACGGCUAACUACGUGCCAGCAGCCGCGGUAAUACGUAGGUGGCAAGCGUUGUCCGGAAUUAUUGGGCGUAAAGCGCUCGCAGGCGGUUCUUUAAGUCUGAUGUGAAAUCUUACGGCUCAACCGUAAACGUGCAUUGGAAACUGGGGAACUUGAGUGCAGAAGAGGAGAGUGGAAUUCCACGUGUAGCGGUGAAAUGCGUAGAGAUGUGGAGGAACACCAGUGGCGAAGGCGACUCUCUGGUCUGUAACUGACGCUGAGGAGCGAAAGCGUGGGGAGCGAACAGGAUUAGAUACCCUGGUAGUCCACGCCGUAAACGAUGAGUGCUAGGUGUAAGGGGGUUUCCGUCCCUUAGUGCUGAAGUUAACGCAUUAAGCACUCCGCCUGGGGAGUACGGCCGCAAGGCUGAAACUCAAAAGAAUUGACGGGGGCCCGCACAAGCGGUGGAGCAUGUGGUUCAAUUCGAAAGCA
rnacentral:rRNA from 1 species